CUGGAGUUCGGGCCGGGAGUUCGGGCAGCGGCUCCCGCGGCGGCGGCAGCGGCUGCUGCGUGUUGGUCCCCGUUGGCACUUCAAAUGAUAAUGAUGCUCUAAUUUGCAUGCAUUGUUGGAGGAGUCAUCCAGUUGCUGGCUUGAUCCCUGCUAAAAGAGCAUACCAGCUGCAAAUUGACAGAAGAAUCUGAUACACGUGAAGAUGGGGACUUGGAGGCUUUAUCUGGAGCUGCAGCUACCAGGAGCCCCCUUCUGGUCUUCUCCAAGAACUGCACCUUGGCUUCAUGGCCUUACCUUGGCACCUGGAACAUGGACUCCUUCAGUAUCUUCCAGUACCUGGAUCCACAGUGACACAGGAUGUUCGUGGUGGACAGCGAGUGUCAGACGUAGGGAUCAAAGACACACCUCCAGACCUCACUCCAUACUGGCCACCCCGACAGGAGCCUUGGAUGAGGCUGCUCAUGGCUGUAGAUGACACACCAAGGAACUAGAGCUUUUCAGAUGCCACCUGGCCACUCCUGUUCUCGGCCAUAGCAGUGUUACUUGGUACUGUCAAUGUCCACUGCAUUCUGUCAAAUGUGUGUCAUUUAAAGACCACAAGACAUAACAAAAAUUAAUUCGUUAAAACUUAUUGUAUUUUAUUUUUUAAACUGAGAUAGGGUCUCUCUCUGUUGCCCAGGCUAGAGUGCAGUGGUGCAAUCACAGCUCACUGCAACCUCAAACUCCUGGGAUCAAACAAUCUUCCCGCUUCAGCCUCCCAAGUAGCUGGGACUACAGGUACAGAUGUGAUACCACUGAAUGUGAAGCUGAGAAG
rnacentral:lncRNA from 1 species